UGAUUGAUAUUUUUUUCUUCCCCCAAAUAUCUAAAACUUUGUUCAAAUCUAUUUUUGAUCCUAGAUUUUUGAUGAGAUUUGUGGUCUCGGUCUUUUAGACCUAUGCAGAAAUGCAUUGAUGUAGCACAUGAUGUUUAUGAAGUUUCUAGAAAGUGAGACAGAGUGAGAGACGACAGACUGGUGCACAAUUGGGAUGUAUUGUGUGAUGGAUUCUCAUAGUUUCAUGAGACAAGUUCCUCUCCUUAAUGACUGUUUUGUUUCCGAGCACUGCCUGGAGCAUCAAAUGUGGGAAGACGGAAGGGAAAACAUCUUCAUCGGGGAUCCCCCGUGUCAUCAAGAAAUUUGGUCUGUACUCCUUGUUUCCGAUGGACUGGAACUGUCUUUGACCUUUCACCUCAGCCCAGUGGUGUCAUUUGUUUGAAAAUACUUGCCCUACUUGAAGUUUCAAAGAGAGCAGCCUAGGGCUUGGCGAGCAAGAGAAGAAUGAGUGAUUUGGAGGAGAUGAAUCAACUUUCCAUUUUGACAAAGACAGAUGUGGAGAUGUGGGAAAAAAUGUGUUUGGGAACAGGCAAGAGCACUGAAGAUUUAGGCACAGCUGGACACUCACUGAAAUGAAAAAUGUGACUUCAACGCAGAAAUGUGUGUACAUGCAGAUGAAUCACAUUUGAGACAAUGGAUUUAUACAGAUUUUAAAUUUAUGUAUUUAAAAUGUAAAUAUAAUUAUAUUUAAGGUAAGAAAUCACACAUUCACAUAUCUAAAUUUGGUCAGUCUAGUCAAGUCGCACCUUCCAGCCUUCUAAAAAGAGUGAUGAACACUGGCUGUUAAGUUUAGUUUUGCUGAUACAUCAUGUUUAGAUUUCAAUCUGGGCCCCCCUUCACAUUAAACAAGACCAUUAGACUUUUCUUUCUUAAAGUUAAAAAUAAAUAAAAGACCUUCAGGUCAUGUCUUACCUCAACUAUGCUACCAAGUGAGUCAAAACUGCCGCUGGUGCCACCUCAAAAUAAAUAGGUACAUGACA